rnacentral:misc_RNA from 1 species
UACGUAGGUGGCAGGCGUUGUCCGGAAUUAUUGGGCAUAAAGAGCUCGUAGGCGGUCCUUUAAGUCUGAUGUGAAAGCCCACGGCUCAACCGUGGAGGGCCAUUGGAAACUGGGGGACUUGAGUGCAGAAGAGGAAAGUGGAAUUCCAUGUGUAGCGGUGAAAUGCGUAGAGAUAUGGAGGAACACCAGUGGCGAAGGCGACUUUCUGGUCUGUAACUGACGCUGAGGCGCGAAAGCGUGGGGAGCAAACAGG